ensembl:lncRNA SLC25A5-AS1 SLC25A5 antisense RNA 1
GGCUUCCGGCCCGGCGAGGUUUGAGCGCGUCCGCGGGCUGGGAGGCCGCUGGACCCGGGCGCAUGGCCUCCCCCGGGCAGUUAUCUCCUUGCCGCGACCUUGAGGUCUUCGACCGUGUGCUGUCCUGGAGCCAGUGAAACCAGACGAAAUUAAGGGAACAGCAGACGAAGGAACUGCCACCGUGCCCCAGACCCUGGUUUGCAAAUACAGUUCGACAAAGAUCUUGCCAGGAAUUGGCCUGGGAGAGUCCAAAGGACUGGGCUGGGGGUGGGGAAAUGAUUUUAGCCAGAAGACAAAUAUAGAGGUUGUACCCAGAAGGUUAAGAGGCUUAGGAAGGUUAAGAACUACGUUAACAUUUGGCUCCCAGGACCCCAGGUAAAGUGCCCUUGGAUUGAAUAGAUUUCUGAACUCCAGAAACAUUUAGAGGAAUCAAUAGAAUUAGAUUGGCAGCCAUUGUGCCAAUGGACAAGUGCUUACUGAGCCCCUUAAUCCCUUCACUGGGUAAGCAUUUGCCACACAUGUCCUCAAAAACCUACUUGUUAGCUUAAGUGGACU